AAAACCCCUGCCUGUACUGAGACGUCAACAUGGUCUUUGUACCGAGAGUCUGCCAUCUUCUCAAGCUCGUGGCCCUUGAAUAAACCUGCUUUACUUCCACAAGCCUCUGUUUCCUGACUAUAUACUUCCGUCAGCAGGCAGCCAAACCUGGGUUUGAUACCAGUAUCAACUAAAAGCAUGAAGAACCGUUAACCAGCCAAGUAAAGGGCAUACUUUCAUUACUUUAGAAAGAGAGGAAGGAAGAAAGUAAAAGAGAAACAUUGAUUCAAAGGAGAAGCAUCAAUUUGUUGCCUCUUAUAUGCACCGGACAGAUGAUCGGCACCUGGACUGGGGGUCGCACGUGCCUGCACCCUGACAAAGGAUUGAGCAUGUGACCUAGGGGAAAGAGCAAACGCAGUCUCCCACUACCACAAAUUAUGCAGCCGACUUUCCCACGGUUGGGGAAAUCGCAGGGGCCGGCACACGCAGGGUGCAGGAGUGGGCCUCGCCCUGGGAGAACCACCUUCAACACCACAGCACCUCCCCUGCCAGGUUUGAAAUUGCAUGAUGACUAGAAAGAACAGUUGGAAGUGAAAAUAACACCUUAUCGUAACAAAAAUAUUUGAAAACUGUGUCUUGGGCUUGCAGAUAUCUUCAAAUUAAAAUUAUAUGCCCUAUCAUUGGCUAUAAGUGUUUGGUGACUAUAACUUGUAAAAUUAGUGCUCAGAACUGCAAAAUUCCUUGCAGAAGACAGAUUACAAAGAGAAUCAG